UAAUUGUGACUUAACACUGAAAAAAAUUGUGUCAAUUUUGACCCGAUCAAUUUAAUAAUUGUAUUAAGUUUAACGACCGAUAUAUAUUUAUUCAUACGAUGUUUGAAUUAAAUUUUGAUAGCUCUACGCGUGUUCCGUUUCUCACAUUUAUUAAUUAAUUAUUAUAGCAUGAGAAAUUCUACUUGAUUGGCUGUCAUGAAAAUGCUCCAGAAUUUCAGCAGGGAUAUUAAUUGCUGCAGAAAACACACAGAUGACAGUAUGAGGGCAAAUACUAUUAUCAUUUCUGUUCUUAUCUCUAUCCUCCUCUUCUUCACUUUCUUUCUUGUUCUUGCCUUUACUGGACUCUCAAAAGGGUUUAUUAGUAAAGGGUGGAUAAUUUUCCUUUUUUAAUAUCAAAUUUCCAAAUUAAAUCAACACUCUUGAAAUAAAAUACAAUUAGCCCCUAUCUGUUUUCAAAUACGGCAUAGGUGGAAGAAAAUGUUCAGCCGCUUAUGCACAGCAACUAAUGGAUAAAGUAAAUAAAAAAUAAUGAUAGACAUCUCAAAUUUUAUCUCAAAUAACUUGUCAUUAAUUGAAUAAUUAAUAAUUCUUUAUAAA
rnacentral:lncRNA from 1 species